AGCAACAAAUGCCCUGCUUCCAGGAAAAGCCUCUAAGCAUCAGGUAACAUCAAAUCGUACCCCAAACCGACACAGGUGGUCAGGUAGAGAAUACCAAGGCGCUUGAGAGAACUCGGGUGAAGGAACUAGGCAAAAUGGUGCCGUAACUUCGGGAGAAGGCACGCUGACACGUAGGUGAAGUGAUUUACUCAUGGAGCUGAAGUCAGUCGAAGAUACCAGCUGGCUGCAACUGUUUAUUAAAAACACAGCACUGUGCAAACACGAAAGUGGACGUAUACGGUGUGACGCCUGCCCGGUGCCGGAAGGUUAAUUGAUGGGGUCAGCGCAAGCGAAGCUCCUGAUCGAAGCCCCGGUAAACGGCGGCCGUAACUAUAACGGUCCUAAGGUAGCGAAAUUCCUUGUCGGGUAAGUUCCGACCUGCACGAAUGGCGUAAUGAUGGCCAGGCUGUCUCCACCCGAGACUCAGUGAAAUUGAACUCGCUGUGAAGAUGCAGUGUACCCGCGGCAAGACGGAAAGACCCCGUGAACCUUUACUAUAGCUUGACACUGAACAUUGAGCCUUGAUGUGUAGGAUAGGUGGGAGGCUUUGAAGCGUGGACGCCAGUCUGCGUGGAGCCGACCUUGAAAUACCACCCUUUAAUGUUUGAUGUUCUAACGUGGACCCGUAAUCCGGGUUGCGGACAGUGUCUGGUGGGUAGUUUGACUGGGGCGGUCUCCUCCUAAAGAGUAACGGAGGAGCACGAAGGUUGGCUAAUCCUGGUCGGACAUCAGGAGGUUAGUGCAAUGGCAUAAGCCAGCUUGACUGCGAGCGUGACGGCGCGAGCAGGUGCGAAAGCAGGUCAUAGUGAUCCGGUGGUUCUGAAUGGAAGGGCCAUCGCUCAACGGAUAAAAGGUACUCCGGGGAUAACAGGCUGAUACCGCCCAAGAGUUCAUAUCGACGGCGGUGUUUGGCACCUCGAUGUCGGCUCAUCACAUCCUGGGGCUGAAGUAGGUCCCAAGGGUAUGGCUGUUCGCCAUUUAAAGUGGUACGCGAGCUGGGUUUAGAACGUCGUGAGACAGUUCGGUCCCUAUCUGCCGUGGGCGCUGGAAGACUGAGGGGGGCUGCUCCUAGUACGAGAGGACCGGAGUGGACGCAUCACUGGUGUUCGGGUUGUCAUGCCAAUGGCACUGCCCGGUAGCUAAAUGCGGAAAAGAUAAGUGCUGAAAGCAUCUAAGCACGAAACUUGCCCCGAGAUGAGUCUUCCCUGAGACUUUGAGUCUCCUGAAGGAACGUUAAAGACGAUGACGUUGAUAGGCCGGGUGUGU
rnacentral:rRNA from 1 species